GGUGCUUGCACCGGAGAAACUUAGCGGCGAACGGGUGAGUAACACGUAAAGAACCUGCCUCAUAGACUGGGACAACUAUUGGAAACGAUAGCUAAUACCGGAUAACAGCAUUAACUGCAUGGUUGAUGUUUAAAAGUUGGUUUUGCUAACACUAUGAGAUGGCUUUGCGGUGCAUUAGCUAGUUGGUGGGGUAAAGGCCUACCAAGGCGACGAUGCAUAGCCGACCUGAGAGGGUGAUCGGCCACACUGGGACUGAGACACGGCCCAGACUCCUACGGGAGGCAGCAGUAGGGAAUCUUCCGCAAUGGGCGAAAGCCUGACGGAGCAACGCCGCGUGAGUGAAGAAGGAUUUCGGUUCGUAAAGCUCUGUUGUUAGGGAAGAAUGAUUGUGUAGUAACUAUACACAGUAGAGACGGUACCUAACCAGAAAGCCACGGCUAACUACGUGCCAGCAGCCGCGGUAAUACGUAGGUGGCAAGCGUUGUCCGGAAUUAUUGGGCGUAAAGCGCGCGCAGGUGGUUUAAUAAGUCUGAUGUGAAAGCCCACGGCUCAACCGUGGAGGGUCAUUGGAAACUGUUAAACUUGAGUGCAGGAGAGAAAAGUGGAAUUCCUAGUGUAGCGGUGAAAUGCGUAGAGAUUAGGAGGAACACCAGUGGCGAAGGCGGCUUUUUGGCCUGUAACUGACACUGAGGCGCGAAAGCGUGGGGAGCAAACAGGAUUAGAUACCUGGUAGUCCACGCCGUAAACGAUGAGUGCUAAGUGUUGGUCUCAUAAGAGAUCAGUGCUGCAGCUAACGCAUUAAGCACUCCGCCUGGGG
rnacentral:rRNA from 1 species